UGGUCAGAUGUGGAAAUGGUAGGGAGU
rnacentral:piRNA from 1 species